rnacentral:rRNA from 1 species
UACGUAGGGGGCGAGCGUUGUCCGGAUUUAUUGGGCGUAAAGAGCGUGUAGGCGGUUCGGUAAAUCUGCCGUGAAAACCUGAGGCUCAACCUCGGGCGUGCGGUGGAUACUGCCGGGCUAGAGGACGGUAGAGGCGAGUGGAAUUCCCGGUGUAGCGGUGAAAUGCGCAGAUAUCGGGAAGAACACCCGUGGCGAAGGCGGCUCUCUGGGACGGUACUGACGCUGAGACGCGAAAGCGUGGGGAGCGAACAGG